GGCAGUGUAGCAUAGUGGUAUGGAGAAGGGCCCCCAACCGUAAGUUUGCAGGUUCGAUUCCCCACUGGGG